GCGAUUCUCCUGCGUCAGACUCCUGAGUAGCUGGGAUUACAGGUAUGGGAAGCUGUGGAUUCAUAACCUGAGUAAAUUAAGGAAUUUCACAUUAUGAACUCAAUUUGAGAUGGGCUGGACUGGUGAUACCUGGAAGGGGUAAAUGACAAUCCACUCUGGAGGCACCUUAUGCCUUAGGGAGCAUCCACAAAUCAUUUUUCAGGAACAGUGACCAGCAAGUUGUCACAGAUAUCCAGCAUGCAAGGGGACAGAACCACAUGAAUAAGAUCAAAUAGAAACAACAGAUAGUAUAAGCAGAUUCAUCUAAACUGAGUAGCUUUGAACUAGGGAUGUUGCUUUGGUUUGGGUUCAAGGCCCCCAUUCAACAUCUCUUAGCCCACAAUGGUGAGUCUUCAAGACAUAUGAAUAUACAUUACAGUGACAGCUAGCCCUUGGUAUCUGCUGGCACGUAGAUACCAUUGCACCACUAAUUUCCCAUAGAACCUACCCCUCCUCCAAAGUCUUUAUAGGAGCUGUAGUAGUUGCCUCUGUUUAGAUCAUGGGUUUUAUUUCCCACUCUGUCCUCUAUAUGUGGUGCUAGAUAUUAUUUCUUUUUUUUUUUUUUUUUUUUUUUUGAGACGGAGCCUCGCUCUGUCGCCCAAGCUGGAGUGCAGUGGUGCAAUCUUGGCUUACUGCAAGCUCCGCCUCCUGGGCUCACACCAUUCUCCCACCUCAGCCUCUUGAGUAGCUGGGACCACGGGCGCCCACCACCACGCCCGGCUAAUUUUUGAAAACAUUUUUAGUAGAGACGGGGUUUCACUGUGUUAGCCAGGAUGGUCUCGAUCUCCUGAACUCGUGAUUCACCCACCUCAGCCUCCCAAAGUGCUGGGAUUACAGGCGUGAGCCACUGCGCCAAGCCAAUAUUGUUUAUUUCUAAUCAGCACUAAUUUCUACCUCUUUUUGUGCUCUUACCUUUGUUUCAGGGGCUGGAAACCUAACAAUUUCACUUCCUAGACUACUUGCUAAAAGUCACCUAAACAGUCAAAAAAAAAAAAAAAAAGACACUGGGCUAUAGCUCAGAUUACACAAGUAUCUCUAGCUAAAGGAUAUGAAUGAGUGAAUGAGGCAAAAUAGGGAA